ensembl:miRNA gga-mir-1690 gga-mir-1690
GAUGGCUUCCAGCAGGGUGCGUAUCCAGAGGCAAAGGAGCACUGCUGCUAAAUGGGACACGGCAGAGCUGCUUUCUCUGUGAUGAUGCACUCUGCGUAGUCAUU